rnacentral:lncRNA from 10 species
CAAAAGGAAGAGGCACAGUCCUUUCUCUGUUGGAAAGACAAGGAAAAAGUAUCUGAAAGUGAAAGAACAAAUCGAAGAUGAAUAAUGAGAUGCAGAAACCACGGCCCAGGGAAGACGCAGCUUGAGCAAGGUCACCGGCAGUUUCCUUUGCAGUAAAAUGGGAAUAAAAAGAAAAUCUACGUAACAGUAGAUAUUCUGUGAGGAUUACGUGAAUUCAUAUUUGAAGAGUGAGUAGAAGGGUUCCUGGCACAAGCUCUACAAGUGUGGCUGGAAUGAAUAUGAUGAUGAGGAUGAAGAUGAGGAUGGCGGGGCUGGAGCUCAAGUGCCAUACUGUGUCCUGGAGCAGAAGCCACGUGUUGAGGACAGUCUGGACCCUUAACGAGGGUUGAGCCACGACACCAGCCUGUGACUGUUUACCUCUUGAGUUUGUUUACAGGAGAAGAAAAUAAACUCUCACCUUGUUUAACACACCAUCCUGUUGGCUUUUCAGUUUGCUUGUAGCCCGAUCUAAUCCUAACUGAUACAGGAACAUUGUAGGUUCAACUCACAUCCCUGUCCCCUGCACCAUGUUGUCGCUCUUUAAGAUAAUGUCUCACUGUUCCUACUUGGGUUGUACAUUCCUUGAGGACGGAAAAGCUUCCCACUCACAGUAGGUGCCCAGAAAGUAAGUAUCGAAUUAAUGGAAGAACAAUGUGAAAAUCAUUCUGGUUAGGUAGACAAGGAAUUCUUUGGCUAGUUGCAGAAAAUCAGUGAUAGUAAUAACAAAAUUUAUCAAGCAUAAUGGCUGGCGUGCUUUUUUUUUUUUUUUUUCCAAGUCAGAGUCUUGCUCUGUUGCCCAAGCUGGAGGGCAGUGAUGUGAUCACAUCUCACUGCACCCUUGACCUCCUGCCUCAAAUGAUCCCUCCAUCUCAGCCUCCUGUGCACCAGCACACCCAGCUAAUUUUUAAAUUUUUUUUUUGUAGGGAUGAGGUCUUACUAUAUUGCCCAGUCUGGUCUUGAACUUCUGGACUCAAUUGAUCCUCCUGCCUCAGCCUUCCAAAGUGUUGGGAUGACAGGUAUGAGCCACUAUGCCCAGUCCCUGGCAUUCCAAGUACUUCAAGUGUAUUUUAUAGUUCAGCUCUCAUGACAAUCCUAUGAAAUAAAUACAGUUGGCCCUCUACACCUGUGGGCUCUGCAUCGAUGGAUUCAACCAACCAUGGAUU